rnacentral:rRNA from 1 species
GACGAACGCUGGCGGCGUGCUUAACACAUGCAAGGCGAACGGAAAGGCCCUGCUUUUGUUGGUUUCUCGAGUGGCGAACGGGGGAGGAACACGGGAGUAACCGGCCCUUGACUUUUGGAGAAGUUCAGGAAACUGGGGCUAAUGCCAGAUAGGAACUCGUCCUGCGUGGUGGGGGUGGGAAACUUUCGGCGGUUGGGGAUGGACUGGCGGCUUAUCAGCUUGUUGGUGGGGUAGUGGCUUACCCAGGCUUUGAAGGGUAGCCGGCCUGGGAGGGUGACCAGCCUCCUUGGGACUGCGAUAGGGCGCAGAGUGCAACGUGAGGCAGUAGUCGGGAACCUGGUCCAGUGAGCGGGAGUCUGAUGCAGAAGCGCUGCGGGCGGAAUGCCGGUCUUCGGGUUGUAAACCGCUUUAGCCUGAGACGACGCGUGUGUGACGGUAAUGGGUAAAGAAGCACCGGCUAACUACGUG